CCUACGGGAGGCUGCAGUGAGGAAUAUUGGUCAAUGGGCGUAAGCCUGAACCAGCCAAGUCGCGUGAGGGAUGAAUGCCCUAUGGAUUGUAAACCUCUUUUAUAAGGGAAUAAAGUGCGGGACGUGUCCCGUUUUGUAUGUACCUUAUGAAUAAGGAUCGGCUAACUCCGUGCCAGCAGCCGCGGUAAUACGGAGGAUCCGAGCGUUAUCCGGAUUUAUUGGGUUUAAAGGGUGCGUAGGCGGCUUUUUAAGUCAGCGGUGAAAGUUUGUGGCUCAACCGUAGAAUUGCAGUUGAAACUGGGAGGCUUGAGUAUGUUUGAGGCAGGCGGAAUGCGUGGUGUAGCGGUGAAAUGCUUAGAUAUCACGCAGAACCCCGAUUGCGAAGGCAGCCUACCAAGCCAUGACUGACACUGAUGCACGAAAGCGUGGGGAUCAAACAGGAUUAGAUACCCUUGUAGUC
rnacentral:rRNA from 1 species